UUUCUGUGAUGAAAGUAGUGUUCAUGCUAGAUUUAAUAAAUCUAGGCAAUAUUAAUUUAUUGACGACUAGUGCAACAGAGACGAGCUUAUUAAGUUAAGAUGAAACGCUGUAAACUCCAUGAGUU
rnacentral:RNase_P_RNA from 1 species